AACGAGAGGUAGUUAGCAGUACAAAACAAAUUGAGCUCCAUCCAGAGAUUCCUACUUCAUUCAUUUUCUUGAGGAAAUGUUAGUCCAAUUCAAAUUUCUAGUUACUUGCCAUAUAAUUGGUAAAGUUUGAAUAAUCCAGAAACUGUCUAUGCCUAUUACUAAUAAAAAAAUAAUAAAAAAAAGACAGUUGCACUGUAUAACACAAAAUCCACAAUUAAGGUGCUAUUAAUU